rnacentral:rRNA from 1 species
AGUCAAGUAAUUAAGUGCAUGUGGUGGAUGCCUUGGCAGUCAGAGGCGAUGAAAGACGUGAUAGCCUGCGAAAAGCUCCGGGGAGGCGGCAAAUAUCCUUUGAUCCGGAGAUGUCUGAAUGGGGGAACCCACCUACUUUAAGGUAGGUAUUGCAACAUGAAUACAUAGUGUUGCAAGGCGAACGAGGGGAAGUGAAACAUCUCAAUACCCUUAGGAAAAGAAAUCAAUUGAGAUUCCCUCAGUAGCGGCGAGCGAACGGGGAUCAGCCCAUUAAGUUAUGUGUGUUUUAGUGGAACGCUCUGGGAAGUGCGAACGUAGAGGGUGAUAUUCCCGUACACGAAAGGGCACACAUAAUGAUGACGAGUAGGGCGAGGCACGUGAAACCUUGUCUGAAUAUGGGGGGACCAUCCUCCAAGGCUAAAUACUCCUGACUGACCGAUAGUGAACCAGUACCGUGAGGGAAAGGCGAAAAGAACCCCUGUGAGGGGAGUGAAAUAGAUCCUGAAACCGCAUGCAUACAAGCAGUGGGAGCACCUUCGUGGUGUGACUGCGUACCUUUUGUAUAAUGGGUCAGCGACUUAUAUUCAGUAGCGAGGUUAACCGUAUAGGGGAGCCGUAGAGAAAUCGAGUCUUAAUAGGGCGUUUAGUUGCUGGGUAUAGACCCGAAACCAGGCGAUCUAUCCAUGAGCAGGUUGAAGGUUGGGUAACACUAACUGGAGGACCGAACCCACUGUCGUUGAAAAGCCAGGGGAUGACUUGUGGAUAGGGGUGAAAGGCUAAUCAAGCCUGGUGAUAGCUGGUUCUCCCCGAAAGCUAUUUAGGUAGCGCCUCGGACGAAUACCAUAGGGGGUAGAGCACUGUUUCGGCUAGGGGGUCAUCCCGACUUACCAAACCGAUGCAAACUCCGAAUACCUAUGAGUACUAUCCGGGAGACAGACUGCGGGUGCUAACGUCCGUAGUCAAGAGGAAAACAAUCCAGACCGCCAGCUAAGGCCCCAAAAUCAUAGUUAAGUGGGAAACGAUGUGGGAAGGCAUAGACAGCUAGGAGGUUGGCUUAGAAGCAGCCACCCUUUAAAGAAAGCGUAAUAGCUCACUAGUCGAGUCGGCCUGCGCGGAAGAUGUAACGGGGCUAAAACUAUGUGCCGAAGCUGCGGAUGUAUACUUUGUAUACGUGGUAGGGGAGCGUUCUGUAAGCCGAUGAAGGUGUGUUGAGAAGCAUGCUGGAGGUAUCAGAAGUGCGAAUGCUGACGUGAGUAACGACAAAACGGGUGAAAAACCCGUUCGCCGAAAGACCAAGGGUUCCAGUCCAACGUUAAUCGGGGCUGGGUGAGUCGACCCCUAAGGCGAGGCCGAAAGGCGUAGUCGAUGGGAAAAUGGUUAAUAUUCCAUUACUUCUGUGUAAUGCGAUGAGAGGACGGAGAAGGCUAAAUCAGCCUGGCGUUGGUUGUCCAGGUGAAAGGAUGUAGGCAUGUAUCUUAGGCAAAUCCGGGGUACUCUAUGCUGAGAUCUGAUAGCAAGCUGUACUUGUACAGCGAAGUGGUUGAUGCCAUGCUUCCAGGAAAAGUCUCUAAGCUUCAGUUACACAGGAAUCGUACCCGAAACCGACACAGGUGGUCAGGUCGAGUAGACCAAGGCGCUUGAGAGAACUCUGCUGAAGGAACUAGGCAAAAUGGUACCGUAACUUCGGGAGAAGGUACGCUGUUGUUGGUGAUGGAACUCGCUUCCUGAGCUGACGACAGCCGCAGAAACCAGGCCGCUGCAACUGUUUAUUAAAAACAUAGCACUCUGCAAACACGAAAGUGGACGUAUAGGGUGUGAUGCCUGCCCGGUGCUGGAAGGUUAAUUGAUGGGGUUAGCGUAAGCGAAGCUCUUGAUCGAAGCCCCAGUAAACGGCGGCCGUAACUAUAACGGUCCUAAGGUAGCGAAAUUCCUUGUCGGGUAAGUUCCGACCUGCACGAAUGGCAUAAUGAUGGCGGCGCUGUCUCCAGCAGAGGCUCAGUGAAAUCGAAAUCGCUGUGAAGAUGCAGUGUACCCGCGGCUAGACGGAAAGACCCCGUGAACCUUUACUGCAGCUUGACACUGAACUUUGACCUUACUUGUGUAGGAUAGGUGGGAGGCUUUGAAGCUGGAACGCUAGUUCCAGUGGAGCCGUCCUUGAAAUACCACCCUGGUAAUGUUGAGGUUCUAACUCUGUCCCGUGAUCCGGGACGAGGACCGUGUCUGGUGGGUAGUUUGACUGGGGCGGUCUCCUCCUAAAGAGUAACGGAGGAGUACGAAGGUGCGCUCAGCGUGGUCGGAAAUCACGCGUAGAGUAUAAAGGCAAAAGCGCGCUUAACUGCGAGACCCACAAGUCGAGCAGGUACGAAAGUAGGUCUUAGUGAUCCGGUGGUUCUGUAUGGAAGGGCCAUCGCUCAACGGAUAAAAGGUACUCUGGGGAUAACAGGCUGAUACCGCCCAAGAGUUCAUAUCGACGGCGGUGUUUGGCACCUCGAUGUCGGCUCAUCUCAUCCUGGGGCUGAAGCAGGUCCCAAGGGUAUGGCUGUUCGCCAUUUAAAGAGGUACGCGAGCUGGGUUUAGAACGUCGUGAGACAGUUCGGUCCCUAUCUACCGUGGGCGCUGGAAAUUUGAGAGGAUCUGCUCCUAGUACGAGAGGACCAGAGUGGACGAACCUCUGGUGUACCGGUUGUGACGCCAGUCGCAUCGCCGGGUAGCUAUGUUCGGAAGGGAUAACCGCUGAAAGCAUCUAAGCGGGAAGCCUACCUCAAGAUAAGAUUUCCCUAGGACUUUAUGUCCUCUAAAGAGCCGUUCGAGACUAGGACGUUGAUAGGUUGGAUGUGGAAGCAUAGUGAUAUGUGAAGCUGACCAAUACUAAUUGCUCGUGAGGCUUGACUAU